AGUAGAGAGAAGCUUGUAUGGGAAGUGUCAAGGUCAGCCGUCCAGUCAAAGUCAGGCGGCAGGGAAGAUCUGGUGGGUAAGCAGCACUCAGUUCACAUCUAACCUCAGCUUCACUGGCACCCAUGGUUUUGGAGACGAUGAACUGUUCCUGCAAAAGUGCUUCAUCUUCAAGGAGAUUCAUGGAAAGACUCUGACGAGUACAGAUCUGAUAACACAUGAGUUUGCUGUCACACGGGAGGAGCAACAAUGCACCUUUCAAGUGCUUCCCCAAGGCUACCUGCAUAGCAUGUCUCGCUGUGUCGUGGGAUGGUAGCCAGAAGCCUGUCUCUGUUCUGCUUCCCCCAUCAGUAAAAUGGGCC
rnacentral:lncRNA from 1 species